AACGGAAGGGGCUAACGCUGAUCGGAAUUACUGGGCGUAAAGAGCGCGUAGGCGGCUUAGAAAGUUGGGGGUGAAAUGCCGGAGCUCAACUCCGGAACUGCCUUCAAAACUGGUAGGCUCGAGUCCGGAAGAGGGGCGUGGAAUUGCCAGUGUAGAGGUGAAAUUCGUAGAUAUUGGGAAGAACCCCGGUGGCGAAGGCGGCGCCCUGGUCCGGUACUGACGCUGAGGCGCGAAAGCGUGGGGAGCAAACAGG
rnacentral:rRNA from 1 species